CCUACGGGGUGCAGCAGUGAGGAAUAUUGGUCAAUGGGCGCGAGCCUGAACCAGCCAAGUAGCGUGAAGGAUGACUGCCCUACGGGUUGUAAACUUCUUUUAUAAAGGAAUAAAGUGAGGCACGUGUGCCUCUUUGUAUGUACUUUAUGAAUAAGGAUCGGCUAACUCCGUGCCAGCAGCCGCGGUAAUACGGAGGAUCCGAGCGUUAUCCGGAUUUAUUGGGUUUAAAGGGUGCGUAGGCGGAAUGCCAAGUCAGCGGUAAAAUCGCGGGGCUCAACCUCGCUCCGCCGUUGAAACUGGCGUUCUGGAGUGGGCGAGAAGUAUGCGGAAUGCGUGGUGUAGCGGUGAAAUGCAUAGAUAUCACGCAGAACUCCGAUUGCGAAGGCAGCAUACCGGCGCCCAACUGACGCUGAAGCACGAAAGCGUGGGUAUCGAACAGGAUUAGAUACCCGGGUAGUC
rnacentral:rRNA from 1 species